CCAGACUCCUACGGGAGGCAGCAGUGAGGAAUCUUCCACAAUGGGCGAAAGCCUGAUGGAGCAACGCCGCGUGCAGGAUGAAGGCCUUCGGGUUGUAAACUGCUUUUAUAAGUGAGGAAUAUGACGGUAGCUUAUGAAUAAGGAUCGGCUAACUACGUGCCAGCAGCCGCGGUCAUACGUAGGAUCCGAGCGUUAUCCGGAGUGACUGGGCGUAAAGAGUUGCGUAGGCGGUUGUAUAAGUGAAUAGUGAAAUCUGGUGGCUCAACCAUACAGGCUAUUGUUCAAACUGUACAACUUGAGAGUGGUAGAGGUCACUGGAAUUUCUUGUGUAGGAGUGAAAUCCGUAGAUAUAAGAAGGAACACCAAUGGCGUAGGCAGGUGACUGGACCAUUUCUGACGCUAAGGCACGAAAGCGUGGGGAGCGAACCGGAUUAGAUACCCGGGUAGUCCACGCCGUAAACGAUGGAUACUGGCUGUUGGAGGUAUCGACCCCUUCAGUAGCGAAGCUAACGCGUUAAGUAUCCCGCCUGUGGAGUACGGCCGCAAGGCUAACACAUAAAGGAAUUGACGGGGGCCCGCACAAG
rnacentral:rRNA from 1 species